rnacentral:lncRNA from 1 species
UCCCAGAUGUCUUUUAUGGUUACUAUCUUUGAUUGUAUCUAUGUUUUGAUCUUUAUUUUUGAAUUCUACUUCACCCUUGGUUAUUAUGGAGUAUUAUUAAAUUUGGAUAAACUGAAAUACAAAUCCCUAAUAUUUGUCCUUCUGUCUCACUGGAUUCAUUCUCUAAAAUGUUUUUCAUCAUCCUCAGUCCUUAAUGGAGAUACUUGAUGAAUAUCUUUGGCCUGUAGUGCAAAGAUGAAUGAUUACCUGAUGAAUAUCUUUGGCCCGUAGUGCAAAGAUGAACAGGUGUUGAGAUGAACAUGACCAACUGGUGAUACAAAUGAAUAUCUUUGGCCCGUAGUGCAAAGAUGAAUAUUUGAUGCAAGAUGUAUAUUGAUUGAUGUUACAGGGAUAAAAUAUUGAUGAUGGACUUUUAAAUUCAUGGAUGAUAGUAGAUUUCAUUCUCUACUUAAAUCCUCUAAUGAAUUGUUAUUUCCGCUGCAGUUGUUGAUCUAAAACUUGUUGUCGAUUAUAUUCUAU